rnacentral:rRNA from 1 species
UACGUAGGUGGCAAGCGUUGUCCGGAUUUACUGGGCGUAAAGGGUGCGUAGGCGGCGCGGUAAGUCGGGUGUGAAAUCUCGGGGCUUAACUCCGAAACUGCAUUCGAUACUGCCGUGCUUGAGGACUGGAGAGGAGACUGGAAUUUACGGUGUAGCGGUGAAAUGCGUAGAUAUCGUAAGGAAGACCAGUGGCGAAGGCGGGUCUCUGGACAGUUCCUGACGCUGAGGCACGAAGGCCAGGGGAGCAAACGGG